GGACGCCGCAGGCUACAGCCGCGCCUGAGCCAGCGAGCCCCCAAAAACAGGUUCUCCCUCUUCCUUCCUUCUUCCUCAAUUCCUCUCAUUUCUUUCCUUUUUUCUUCCAACCUCUGUCCUUCUCCUCCUUUCCUCUUCUUCUUUUUCUGUGCGCCUGCCUGCCCCUGUAAAACUAAAAUCGACUCUCCCUCCAUCCUCUCUAUUCUUCAAGCCGAAGUCAUCAGUUGCCAUUGGAGCGCGGACGAUGACGUUCCGCAGCGCUGUUUCCAUGAACGCCGCCACCGAGAGCUUGGGUGGCGCCACCAAUUCUUCUCCACCAUCCACCGUUGACUAUGAAGAAUUAUCAGAGGGAAAUGGAUAUGGACUUCCUCCACCAGAGAUCAGAAAUAUUGUUGAUGCUCCGCCCCUUCCAACACUAUCAUUUUCACCUGGCAAGGCCUGAGGAGAAGCUUGCUGGAAUUCGCAUUGAUCCCAGAUGUAAUUCCCGGAGUCGAAUGUGAGUAACAGAAUAACUGUUGGACCUUUUCAUGUUCCACGGAGUUCUCUUUUCUGCAAUAAAACUGUGAUGAGCUUUAGGGAUUGGAAUCUAUCAGAUAAUGGAGGACUGUACAUUGGGACCUGAAAAAGAAGUACAUGGUCUUCCAAGUGGUGCAAAAAUCAAUUUUGUUUCGUGGGAACCCUUGAACUGAAGGAUGCCAGCCUAUAAGAUUGUGGAUAGCAGAAAAGCAAGACCCCUUUUUCAGGCUACAGACAUUUUUAUAAAUGCAGUUUUUGAAAAAUGUCGCAAGGAUCCAAUGAAGAACAACGAAGCCGGAACAUCCGCCAUCUGGCAAGGUCACAAAUGUUGUUGUGGCAGGCGGAAACGCAAGAGGAGCAACAUGAGCCGAGAUUUUAUGAGACCCAAGUAGGAGAAGGGGUCAGGUACAUCUGCAGAUGCUACAUCGGCCGAGAAUACACAGGCUAUCACAUCACGUAAGUAAAUUCAUAACUAUUCAUUGCAUAUUCUAAUCAAUGCAGAAGUACAUCAGGUGGGAUCCGGCUCAUAAGGAAAAGGUCUUAAAGAAACUUAAUACUAGGGCACAAGAGGCCUAUAACAAGUGGAUGAGUGAUAUUCGAGGUGACAUGCUAAGAAUGGCUAAGAUCUUUAUCGUAGUUGCCACAGUUCUGGAGACUGCAAUUAUUCUGCCAACAAUUGUUAGAGCACGUACUCUUGGUCAGAUAGUCCAUAUCAAUCCCGUCAAGUGGACGUACAGAGAUGUAGCUGGUUCACCACACCUGAGUUCCUCCAAUUUUUGUCGAUGCAUGAGCAUCAGACCACCAUGUAUGUAUUUUAACUUGGACUGGUGUCUUAGAUGUUUUCUAUAUUAGAUUGAACAUUUUACGUAUAAUUAUGAUGUCUUUUGGGCUUACUAGAUGAUUAUUUUGCUCAUAAGUAUAUAAUUUUGGUUUAUUUGCUCAUUAUGUAGCCCUUCCGUGCGUAGUUGAGACAAUUGUUAGUGUAACUUAUUAUGGGAUCUCUUAGACAGUGGUUGGAUCAU